CAGUGGGAGAUCACAAGACGUGCGCUUGUAAAAUGUCAACAACUGAAAAAACGUUGUGGUUGGCCUCAGAAUCAAUCGGUCAUCUCCGACUUUUCCCGGGACUCAUCGCCAUGACGUCACGAUUAACGCCCACAGCGCGUACCACAUAUAUAAAAGCUUCAGCAUUUCGACGUGGAGCAAACACGCCCGAACCAGAUCGACUUCAACAGCGUUCUUCGUAAUAGCGCAAACAUGAGGGGAUUUGCUUUCGUUGCACUCGUCUUUGUGGCUGUGGGGUGCUUGGGGAGUGACGUCAUGGCCCAGUCAACAACAGAAAUCAGCUGCUACGCCCCUAUCUCAGAUCGAUUGACUUUUUAUAUAAACUGCAGGAGACGAGGCGAGACAAUGUCCUUCAUAGGUAGUGGCUCGCCAGGGGACUGUUUCUGGGUGUGCUGAAACUACCUGACCUUUCAGGACUUCUCGUAGAUGUCUUCAUAGGAGAGUUGUCUCAAAUUGAAGUCAGGAAUAUUUAGAAUAUGCAGUUCAAUAAAUACUGCGCAGCUUA